CCUACGGGGUGCAGCAGUGAGGAAUAUUGGUCAAUGGGCGCGAGCCUGAACCAGCCAAGUAGCGUGAAGGAUGACUGCCCUACGGGUUGUAAACUUCUUUUAUAAAGGAAUAAAGUGAGGCACGUGUGCCUUUUUGUAUGUACUUUAUGAAUAAGGUUCGGCUAACUCCGUGCCAGCAGCCGCGGUAAUACGGAGGAUCCGAGCGUUAUCCGGAUUUAUGGGGUUUAAGGGGAGCGUAGAUGGGUUGUUAAGUCGGUUGUGAAAGUUUGCGGCUCAACCGGAGAAGUGCAAUUGAUACUGGCAGUCUUGAGUACAGUUGAGGUAGGCGGAAUUCGUGGUGUAGCGGUGAAAUGCUUAGAUAUCACGAAGAACUCCGAUUGCGAAGGCAGCUUACUAAACUGCCACUGACGUUGAUGCUCGAAAGUGUGGGGAUCAAACAGGAUUAGAUACCCCGGUAGUC
rnacentral:rRNA from 1 species